rnacentral:rRNA from 1 species
CCCUUAGAUGUUCUGGGCCGCACGCGCGCUACACUGUCGGAUUCAGCGAGUCAUAUCCUUAACCGAAAGGUUUGGGUAAUCUUUUGAAAGUCCGACGUGAUGGGGAUUGAUCAUUGCAAUUAUUGAUCAUGAACGAGGAAUUCCUAGUAAGCGCGAGUCAUCAGCUCGCGUUGAUUACGUCCCUGCCCUUUGUACACACCGCCCGUCGCUACUACCGAUUGAAUGGUUUAGUGAGAUCUUCGGAUUGGCGCCUACGCGGCUUCUCUGAGGCCACGCUGGAUGCCGAAAAGUUGCUCAAACUGUAUCAUUUAGAGGAAGUAAAAGUCGUAACA